GGGAAUGUGGCUUAGUGGUAGAGCGCUUGCCUAGCAUGCAUGAAAUCCCGGGUUCAAUUCCUCAGUACUA
rnacentral:tRNA from 1 species